ensembl:lncRNA
CUGAGUAGAAGUAGCCAGGCUGUUUUCUGAGGGGAAACACUAAGAACAUGAAAUAUCUUGGUACUUCAAUGGCCAAGAAGGUGAAAAAUCACAGUGGAAUAUACAAAUAAAGGCUCUGCAUCUACUCAUCGUACAUGUACAGGCUUUACAAGGAGGUGAGUCCAGUCUGGAGCUCCAUGCCUACCGGGCCACGGCCUCGAUCCAGGGAGCUUUCUUUCCAAGUAUGCUCAGAAGCAGCUCGGCUCUCCCAGCUCAACCAGUAUGGAACAAUCACCCGCCUGGAGCUCUGCUCAGCCUUGGGAACUGUUCAUCUCUGUCGCCAUUCUAUGGAAGACUAAGCCUGGAUAUAAAGCGUACAUUUUGAUUAAAGUAUCUGGUUUUAUGAUUGUAACCUUUUGUGUUGGUGGUGGUCUUAGCAAUUGCAAAGGAUUAUUUUACUGGGAAAAUGCAUGUUCUCAGUCAAACUUGCCUGGAAUAAGGGUAAAAAUGUUCUGCAUAUGUCGGAGGUGCAUAGAAAGGCUAACUGUGUCACAGACUCAUUUCUUAAAUAAUUAUGGUUGUUAAUCGUAAACCUGUAGUGAAUGAAUGGUGAAAUUACGUUCUUCUUACUUGCCUACAGAUAAAGCUAUUGAAUGUUCGCUGGAGGGCGCUAGUCUACUGAACUUGACUAGUAAAAACUGAGCUAUAAUUAUUUCACAGUGGUUCCUAAAUUACACUCUGACAUUCUCUGAAACACUUUCACUAUUUAAAAACCUAUAUGAAAUCAGAUUUUGAGAAGUUUAUUUUAAAAAUUCAAGACUCGCACAAGACGCACACAACCACCCAGUUGUCAACACUGAGCCAGAGUAGGCGGGAAUGUAGUUUGUUGACCAAUGAAAAAGCGACCCUGGG